rnacentral:rRNA from 1 species
UACGUAGGUGGCAAGCGUUGUCCGGAUUUAUUGGGUUUAAAGGGUGCGUAGGUGGAUUAAUAAGUCAGUGGUGAAAGCCCGGAGCUCAACUCCGGAACUGCCAUUGAUACUGUUAGUCUUGAGUACAGUUGAGGUGGGCGGAAUGUGUCAUGUAGCGGUGAAAUGCUUAGAUAUGACACAGAACACCGAUUGCGAAGGCAGCUCACUAAGCUGUAACUGACACUGAGGCACGAAAGCGUGGGGAGCAAACAGG